rnacentral:rRNA from 1 species
CCUACGGGUGGCUGCAGUGGGGAAUAUUGGGCAAUGGGCGCAAGCCUGACCCAGCAAAGCCGCGUGAAGGAAUACUGCCCUCGGGUUUUUAACUUCUUUUCUCAGGGACGAAGCAAGUGACGGUACCUGACGAAUAAGCUACGGCUAACUACGUCACAGCAGCCGUGGUAAUACGUAGGUGGCAAGCGGUAUCCGGAUUUAAUGGGGGGAAGGGGCGUGUAGGCGGGAUAGCAAGUCAGAUGUGAAAACCAUGGGCUCAACCUGUGGCCUGCAGUUGAAACUGGUUUUCUUGAGUGCUGGAGAGGCAGACGGAAUGCCUAGUGUAGCGGUGAAAUGCAUAGAUAUUAGGAGGAACACCAGUGGCGAAGGCAGUAUGCUGGACAACAACUGACGCUGAGGCGCGAAAGCGUGGGUAGCGAACAGGAUUAGAUACCCGGGUAGUC